GGGGUGAAAGGCCAAUCAAACUGAGAGAUAGCUCGUACUCCCCGAAAUGCUUUUAGGAGCAGCGUGGAAGUUAGUUUAUCAGAGGUAGAGCUACCGAUUGGACUAGGGGGAGUCAAAUCCUACCAAAUCCAGACGAACUCCGAAUGCUGAUAAAUAUAUUCCGCAGUGAGGGCAUGGGUGCUAAGGUCCGUGUCCGAGAGGGAAAGAACCCAGACCUACAGCUAAGGUCCCUAAAUUUGUAUUAAGUUGAACUAAGGAGGUUCAGUUGCUUAGACAGCCAGGAUGUUGGCUUGGAAGCAGCCAUUCAUUUAAAGAGUGCGUAACAGCUCACUAGUCGAGCGAUCGAGCGUGGAUAAUAAUCGGGCAUAAGUGUAUUACCGAAGCUGUGGAUUACAUAUUUAUUUAUGUACUGGUAGGGGAGCAUUCUAUGGGCGUUGAAUGUAUCUCGUCAGAGGUGCUGGAGCGCAUAGAAAAGCAAAUGUAGGAAUGAGUAACGAUAAAGCAGGCGAGAAACCUGCUCACCGAUAGACUAAGGUUUCCUGAGCGACGCUAAUCGGCUCAGGGUUAGUCGGGACCUAACGCGAACCCGAAAGGGGUAGUGGAUGGACAACUGAUUAAUAUUUCAGUACUAAUUAUAACUGCGAUGGGGUGACGGAGUAAUGAAAGGUCUGCGCACUGACGGAAUAGUGCGUUAAAGCGUGUAGCUAUAGGUUGAAUAGGUAAAUCCGUUCGACUUGGCCAACGUGAUAGUACCACAAGUCUACGGACGAGUGGAUAAUGACCCUAAGCGCUUCCAAGAAAAACCUCUAAGCUUCAGGUUAUAAUUACCCGUACCGUAAACCGACACAGGUAGUCAAGGAGAGAAUCCUAAGGUGCUCGAGUGAUUCAUGGCUAAGGAACUAGGCAAAAUGGUCUCGUAACUUCGGGAGAAGAGACGCCCCUGAUGUAAGAAUCAGGGGCCGCAGUGAAUAGGCCCAGGCGACUGUUUAUCAAAAACACAUGGCUUUGCUAAAUCGAAAGAUGAAGUAUAAGGCCUGACACCUGCCCGGUGCCGGAAGGUUAAGGGGGGGAGUUAUCCUUUGGGAGAAGCU
rnacentral:rRNA from 12 species